rnacentral:rRNA from 1 species
AGCGUUGUUCGGAAUUACUGGGCGUAAAGGGCGCGUAGGCGGUGUGUCAAGUCAGGCGUGAAAGCCCCGGGCUCAACCUGGGAACCGCGCUUGAGACUGGCACGCUAGAGUUCGGGAGAGGAUGGUGGAAUUCCCAGUGUAGAGGUGAAAUUCGUAGAUAUUGGGAAGAACACCGAUGGCGAAGGCAGCCAUCUGGACCGACACUGACGCUGAGGCGCGAAAGCGUGGGGAGCAAACAGG